rnacentral:rRNA from 1 species
GACAGAGGGUGCAAACGUUAUCCGGAUUCACUGGGUUUAAAGGGUGCGUAGGCGGGCAGGUAAGUCAGUGGUGAAAUCUCCGGGCUUAACCCGGAAACUGCCGUUGAUACUAUCUGUCUUGAAUAUCGUGGAGGUAAGCGGAAUAUGUCAUGUAGCGGUGAAAUGCUUAGAUAUGACAUAGAACACCCAUUGCGAAGGCAGCUUACUACACGAUCAUUGACGCUGAGGCACGAAAGCGUGGGGAGCAAACAGG